rnacentral:rRNA from 1 species
UUAAGCUACAAAGAGCGUAGGGUGAAUAGCUAGGCACCAGGAGCCGAUGAAGGACGUGAUAAGCUGCGAAAAGCUUUGGGUAGGAGCAAAUAUCCUUAGAUCCAGAGAUAUCCGAAUGAGGGAACUCACUUAAGGCAAAAAACUUAAGUAUCCAUACAUGAGUAAAGUAGUGUAUGAGAGGGGAACGUUGGGAACUGAAACAUCUUAGUACCAACAGGAAGAGAAAGAAAACAAUCGAUUCCUAGAGUAGUGGCGAGCGAAAUAGGAAGAGCCUAAACCAGAAGUAGUAAUACAUCUGGGGUUCGGACCACGAUAUACUAUCAACAAUUCUAAUAGAAAUGUUUUGGGAAAGCAUACCAUAGAAGGUGAAAGUCCGGUAUAUGAAAGGAAAGUUGAGGUUAGUGGAUUCCAGAGUAGUACGAGACACGAGAAAUCUCGUAUGAAUGAGCGGGGACCAUCCCGUAAGGCUAAAUACUACUUGGUGACCGAUAGUGAACUAGUACCGUGAGGGAAAGGUGAAAAGAACCCCGGGAGGGGAGUGAAAUAGAACAUGAAACCCUAUGUUUACAAGCAGACAAAGCACUUUAUAUGUGCGAUGUCGUACUUUUUGUAGAACGGUCCAGCGAGUUAUUGUAUAUGGCAAGGUUAAGUACUAUGUAAGGUACGGAGCCGAAGCGAAAGCGAGUCUGAAAAGGGCGAUAUAAGUCAUGCAUAAUAGACCCGAAACUGAGUGACCUAUCCAUGAGCAGGAUGAAGCUAGAGUAAAAUCUAGUGGAGGUCCGAACUGAUUGUCGUUAAAAAGGCACCGGAUGACUUGUGGAUAGCGGAGAAAUUCCAAUCGAACUCAGAGAUAGCUGGUUCUCCUCGAAAUAGCUUUAGGGCUAGCCUUGAGGUCAAGAUAUAUGGGGGUAGAGCACUGAAUGAGGUAGGGGCCUAACCAGGUUACCAAACUCUAUCAAACUCCGAAUACCAUAUGUAAAUACUCAGGAGUCAGACUGCGGGAGCUAAGUUCCGUGGUCAAAAGGAAAACAGUCCAGAUCGUCAAUUAAGGUCCCAAAGAUAUAGCUAAGUGGAAAACGAUGUGAUUUUGCAUAAACAACCAGGAUGUUGGCUCAGAAGCAGCCAUUCAUUUAAAGAGUGCGUAAUAGCUCACUGGUCGAGUGAAGUUGCGCGGAAAAUUACCGGGGCUAAGCUAUACACCGAAAUUGCGGAUUUAUACUUGAAAGACAGUAUAAGUGGUAGAGGAGCAUUCUGUUGUAGGAUGAAGCAUGACCGUAAGGACAUGUGGACGAAGCAGAAGAGAGAAUGCUGGAAUAAGUAGCGAGAGGAUGGUGAGAAUCCAUCCCGUCGAAAGUCUAAGGUUUCCUAGGGAAGGUUCGUCCGCCUAGGGUAAGUCGGGACCUAAGGAGAGGCCGAAAGGCGUAUCUGAUGGACAGCAGGUUGAAAUUCCUGCACCACGUAUAUACUUAAAAGAUACAAGGGACGCAGAAGUGAAAGAUAACCAUGGAAGAGGAAAAACAUGGCCCGCAAGGGGGAGUGAAAAUUAUAAGUAACGAAGUAUCAAGAAGCACGCUGACGAGAAAAGCUUGUAGAUAUUGUAUAUAAGUGCCCGUACCGCAAACCGACACAGGUAGAUGAGGAGAGGAUCCUAAGACGAGCGGGAGAAGCAUUGUUAAGGAACUCGGCAAAUUAACCCCGUAACUUCGGAAUAAGGGGUGCUGAUGUAACAGUCAGUCGCAGAGAAAAGGCCCAAGCAACUGUUUAACAAAAACAUAGGUUUCUGCUAAAUCGAAAGAUGAAGUAUAGGAGCUGACGCCUGCCCAGUGCUGGAAGGUUAAGGGGAAAGGUUAGAUUAUAUCAAAGCUUUGAACUGAAGCCCCAGUGAACGGCGGCCGUAACUAUAACGGUCCUAAGGUAGCGAAAUUCCUUGUCAGGUAAGUUCUGACCCGCACGAAAGGCGUAAUGAUUUGGGCACUGUCUCGACAAUGUCCCCGGCGAAAUUGUAGUACUAGUGAAGAUGCUAGUUACCUGCGAUAAGACAGAAAGACCCCAUGGAGCUUUACUGCAGUUUGAUACUGGGUUUCGAUGAUUUAUGUACAGGAUAGUUGGGAGACUAUGAAAGAGAGGCGUCAGCUUCUCCGGAGUCGUUGUUGGGAUACCAACCUUAAGUUAUUGAAAUUCUAACUUGUAAUCGUAAACCGGUUAGAGGACAAUGUCAGACGGGCAGUUUGACUGGGGCGGUCGCCUCCUAAAGAGUAACGGAGGCGCCCAAAGGUUUCCUCAGCGCGGACAGAAAUCGCGCGAAAGAGUGCAAAGGCAGAAGGAAGCUUAACUGAGAGACAGACAUGUCGACCAGAUACGAAAGUAGGGCUUAGUGAUCCGGUGGUUGUAAAUGGAAAUGCCAUCGCUCAACGGACAAAAGUUACCCUGGGGAUAACAGGCUUAUCUCCCCCAAGAGUUCACAUCGACGGGGAGGUUUGGCACCUCGAUGUCGGCUCAUCGCAUCCUGGAGCGGAAGUACGUUCCAAGGGUUGGGCUGUUCGCCCAUUAAAGCGGUACGCGAGCUGGGUUCAGAACGUCGUGAGACAGUUCGGUCCUUAUCUGUCGCAGGCGUAGGAUAUUUGAAGGGAGCUGUCCUUAGUACGAGAGGACCAGGAUGGAGAUACCGAUGGUGUAUCAGUUGUCACACCAGUGGCAUGGCUGAGUAGCUAAGUAUCGAUGGGAUAAACGCUGAAAGCAUCUAAGUGUGAAGCCCACCCUAAGAUAAGAUGUCCCAUACCGUAAGGUAGUAAGAUUCCACGUAGACUAUGUGGUUGAUAGGUUGGAGGUGUAAGUACAGUAAUGUAUUGAGCUGACCAAUACUAAUAAAUCGAGGGCUUAACCAC